rnacentral:misc_RNA from 1 species
CAUGAGCACCAAGAAUUGUUACUUGAUCAGGGAGUUCCUAAUAAUUUUAUUUUGUGUGAUUCAACAAACUGAACACGAUUUAGAUAUACCGUAGUUGAAUCAAGAAACUCCCGAUGAUGUACAGAAUGAUAAAGAAUCUGAUGUAAAUUCUCUAUCAGCAGAGAAAUUUUUGGAAAAUAUAAAAUCUUCACCGCUGCCGCAAGGCUGGAUGUAUUUCGAAAAACCAAAAGGGCUAGAAUUUGGGCAGAUAAAUCCAACAACUAUGCAAAUUUCAAACCGUCUACAAGUAAACAAGGAUUCAUCUAUUACUGGCUAUUUUUUUUACCAAUGAAGAGUCGAAUAUAAAUGACAAUAUUAGUUCUUUCAACAGUAUCUACGAUUACUUAAAGUUAGUAGAAAGAUGGCCAAUAUGCGUUGGAACUCAAAUUGACAAUAACAAGUUUUCAAAACUUUGUAAGGGUGUACUUGUUGGUGAUGAUUCCUAUGAAAGAAAUCAAGCGAAUCCAAGAUGUAAAUCUUGUAGAAUUUUACGUCAUCGUUUACAGAACUAUAAUUCAACUUCAACUGUUUUAGAAAGUACAAUUGCUCAACAACGACGUACGUACUUCUAAUCUACACAAACGAUGUAAACGAUGAAAAGAAUGGUAAGUUAUUUUAAUAAUUGUUCUAUACUAACAAUUGAGUUAUCAAACUCAAUAAGAUGAGAAAAUUAUUUUUUUUUCGACGCUAAUGAAUUUUACGGUUUAUAAUUAAUACGAAAUCUAAAAUUCGGUGAUGAUUGUCUAUUUUUUAUAUUGAAAGAAGAUGUACAAUUAAACGAUAUCUUUUUCUUUCAACAGGGAAACCAUACUAUUUGUACUCUUCCAACGGCAAUAUAGUAUAUUAAAGCCUGAUUCUAUCCAAGAUACGUACAAUAAUUAAGAAUAUUUUUCUCAAACAAUGUUCACAAAUGUUGUUCAUUGAUCGCCACUCAUUCAGGAGUUCAGUAUUAUUAAUAUUAGUUAUUUCAGUCCGCAACUAAUGUAUAGUGCAUUACAUUAUAUGUAUAAUGAAAAUAACAUGAAAUAAUAUGAAUUGUAAUUAGGAAUAAUGCCAUAACCAUCAUUUUUGAAAAAACUUUUUUGACAGUGUAUUUCUAUUAAACAAUCAUAUGUCUUAAUAUUAUAUUGACUAAAUAACGAGACAAAUGUUUGUUAAAGGAUAAUUGCUUAUUACCAUACAUAUAUUUUACGUUGAAUUUUCAAAUGAAUUUGUAUAUUAAUAGUUUCGUUAAAGUAGUUAAUACCUUUGAAUAAAAUUUGAACAUUUAUCUUACUAUCGAAGUAUUGAAAAUUUGUACAAAUUUGAAUUUUUAAAUAUUUUAAUUCCUGAAAAAGCAGAAUCUCAUGUAUAAUUUGUAUUUCCAUUUACUAAAUUUGAUGCUACUUUUUUAAGA